rnacentral:rRNA from 1 species
AGGACGAACGCUGGCGGCGUGGAUUAGGCAUGCAAGUCGAGCGACGGCAUCUUUCGGGAUGUACGGAGCGGCGAACGGGUGAGUAACGCGUGAACAACCUGUCCCUUUGUUCCGGAUAAUUGGAAGAAAUUCCUUGUAAUACGGGUGAGGAUGGUCUUUUGGCAUCGAGAGAUCAGGGAACACGAAAGUGGUAUUGGGAGGGGUUCGCGACCUAUCAGGUAGUUGGUGUGGUAACGGCACACCAAGCCAACGACGGGUAGCUGGUCUGAGAGGAUGGUCAGCCACAUUGGAACUGAGACACUGUCCAGACUCCUACGGGAGGCUGCAGUCGAGAAUCUUGGGCAAUGCACGAAAGUGUGACCCAGCGACGCCGCGUGAAGGAAGAAGGCCCUCUGGGUCGUAAACUUCUUUUAAGGGGAAAGAAUGAGGCGUAAGCCUUUUGACGGUACCCUUUGAAUAAGCCACGGCUAACUACGCGCCAGCAGCCGCGGUAA